CCACAAAAUAAACCUCCCUUUUAACUAUGUGGAGUGGCCUUAAUAAUUUCACCAAUCGGGUGUCACUCCCAGGGAAAGCACAGAGGUGGGCGGCUAUCAACUAGCUCAUCUAUUCGCUACUCAUCUUCCCAGCAGCAAGGACUCCAGACAGAGGGGCAUGGCCCUAGACUGCUUGAGGUGUCGUCAACUUGACCAAAAGUUAGAUUCACCUGGGAGACGGGCCUCUGGACACACCCACGGGGGGAGUCAUGAGGCUGGAGUUCUGCCUCUCAUCUCUGGGACAGGACACACACAAGCCAGAGCUGAAGCAUCUCCAGGAUGCUCUGUGGACCCUGUACUGCUGAGUGCUGAACAGCCCUCAACUGCAUCGUGAACCCCACAGGGACGGAAGCUUUUGCCUAUUUUGGUCAAACUUCUAAAAUGCACCUGGCACAUAUCCCCUCUGGCAGGAUACCUCGGAUGACCUCCCUUCUCUAGCCUCUUCAUGUUGGCCAUCUCACUGCUUCUCCCUCAGGCACUGCCCCCUCUCUGGACUCCACAUGUCGUCUUCUUCUUCCCUAAGGUCAUAUGGCUAAGGGUAUGCCCACCAAAGACUGCCUGAGUUCAAAUCCUGAAUGGACCAAGUUGGGCGAAUCAUUUAACUGCUCUGUACUACAGUUUUCCCAUCUGUAAGGAGGGGUGAUGAGGACAGCCUUUUGCUUGAUAACAAACAAUACCGGACACGUAUUAAAUAAUUAGUAUGCGUCAGGCUCUCUCCUAUGUAUUUUUCCUAUAUUGAAGCACUUAAUUCCCACAAACCUCUAGGGGAAGGUUUAUUUAUUUGUUCAUUCAUUUAUUUAAUACU